UACGUAGGGUGCAAGCGUUAAUCGGAAUUACUGGGCGUAAAGCGUGCGCAGGCGGUUCUACUUAAGACAGGUGUGAAAUCCCCGGGCUUAACCUGGGAACUGGCGCUUGUAACUGAGAGGCUUGAGUGUGCCAGAGGGGGUGGAAUUCCACGGUGUAGCAGUGAAAUGCGUAGAUAUGCGGAGGAACACCGAUGGCGAAGGCAUCCCCGUGGACCUGUACUGACGCUCAUG
rnacentral:rRNA from 1 species